UACGUAGGGUGCAAGCGUUAUCCGGAAUUAUUGGGCGUAAAGAGCUCGUAGGCGGUUUGUCACGUCUGCUGUGAAAACUGGAGGCUCAACCUCCAGCCUGCAGUGGGUACGGGCAGACUAGAGUGCGGUAGGGGAGAUUGGAAUUCCUGGUGUAGCGGUGGAAUGCGCAGAUAUCAGGAGGAACACCGAUGGCGAAGGCAGCUCGCUGGGACGUUUACUGACACUGAGGCGCGGAAAGCGUGGGGAGCGAACAGG
rnacentral:rRNA from 1 species